GACGGAGGAUGCAAGCGUUAUCCGGAAUGAUUGGGCGUAAAGCGUCUGCAGGUGGCAGUUCAAGUCUGCUGUCAAAGACCGGGGCUUAACUUCGGAAAGGCAGUGGAAACUGAACAGCUAGAGUAUGGUAGGGGCAGAGGGAAUUCCUGGUGUAGCGGUGAAAAUGCGUAGAUAUCGAGAGGAACACCUGCGGCGAAGGCGGGUUGCUGGGCUGACACUGACGCUGAUGCGCGAAAGCCAGGGGAGCGAACGGG
rnacentral:rRNA from 1 species